rnacentral:rRNA from 1 species
GGUGUAGGCGGCUAGGUAAGUGUUGUGUGAAAGCCCCCGGCUCAACCGGGGAACGGCAUGGCAAACUGCUUGGCUUGAGGUUGGUAGAGGUGCCUGGAACUCUAGGUGGAGCGGUGAAAUGCGUAGAUAUCUAGAGGAACGCCGGAGGCGAAAGCGGGCACUGGGCCAAUUCUGACGCUGAGACCCGAAAGCGUGGGGAGCAAACA